AGUCGGGCGGGUGCUAUACAUGCAGUCGAACGCGUUGGCCCAAUUGAUUGAUGGUGCUUGCACCUGAUUGAUUUUGGUCGCCAACGAGUGGCGGACGGGUGAGUAACACGUAGGUAACCUGCCCAGAAGCGGGGGACAACAUUUGGAAACAGAUGCUAAUACCGCAUAACAGCGUUGUUCGCAUGAACAACGCUUAAAAGAUGGCUUCUCGCUAUCACUUCUGGAUGGACCUGCGGUGCAUUAGCUUGUUGGUGGGGUAACGGCCUACCAAGGCGAUGAUGCAUAGCCGAGUUGAGAGACUGAUCGGCCACAAUGGGACUGAGACACGGCCCAUACUCCUACGGGAGGCAGCAGUAGGGAAUCUUCCACAAUGGGCGCAAGCCUGAUGGAGCAACACCGCGUGAGUGAAGAAGGGUUUCGGCUCGUAAAGCUCUGUUGUUAAAGAAGAACACGUAUGAGAGUAACUGUUCAUACGUUGACGGUAUUUAACCAGAAAGUCACGGCUAACUACGUGCCAGCAGCCGCGGUAAUACGUAGGUGGCAAGCGUUAUCCGGAUUUAUUGGGCGUAAAGAGAGUGCAGGCGGUUUUCUAAGUCUGAUGUGAAAGCCUUCGGCUUAACCGGAGAAGUGCAUCGGAAACUGGAUAACUUGAGUGCAGAAGAGGGUAGUGGAACUCCAUGUGUAGCGGUGGAAUGCGUAGAUAUAUGGAAGAACACCAGUGGCGAAGGCGGCUACCUGGUCUGCAACUGACGCUGAGACUCGAAAGCAUGGGUAGCGAACAGGAUUAGAUACCCUGGUAGUCCAUGCCGUAAACGAUGAGUGCUAGGUGUUGGAGGGUUUCCGCCCUUCAGUGCCGGAGCUAACGCAUUAAGCACUCCGCCUGGGGAGUACGACCGCAAGGUUGAAACUCAAAGGAAUUGACGGGGGCCCGCACAAGCGGUGGAGCAUGUGGUUUAAUUCGAAGCUACGCGAAGAACCUUACCAGGUCUUGACAUCUUGCGCCAACCCUAGAGAUAGGGCGUUUCCUUCGGGAACGCAAUGACAGGUGUGCAUGGUCGUCGUCAGCUCGUGUCGUGAGAUGUGGGUAGUCCCGCACGAGCGCACCUGUACUAGUGCAGCAUAGUGGCACUCUAGUGAGACUGCGUGACAAACCGGACAGUGGGACGACGUCGGAUCAUCAUGCGUAUGACCUGCUAACACUGUGCUACAUGAACGUACAACGAGUUCGCGAAACCUUCCGGAAGGUCCA
rnacentral:rRNA from 1 species